rfam:Triticum aestivum genome assembly, contig: Triticum_aestivum_CS42_TGACv1_scaffold_321416_4BL
UACGUAUUCCCUCCGUCCGGAAAUACUUAUCGGCGGAAUGGAUAUAUCUAGACGUAUUUUAGUUUUAGAUACAUCUAUUUUUAUGCAUUUCCGCGACAAAUAUUUUCGGACGAAGGGAGUCUGAU